ACCUGAUGAUGUGGGAAUUUAGAAAGUAGGUCCCUAAAGCGCUCUCAUGUAUCGAACAAGAAUUCUCCAUCCAUCUAUGAGAAACUCAUGAUGGCUCUCUGAAGUU